rnacentral:rRNA from 1 species
GCUCAGUACGGCGAGUGAAGCGGCAAAAGCUCAAAUUUGAAAUCUAGCACCUUCGGUGUUCGAGUUGUAAUUUGAAGAUGGUAACCUUGGGUUUGGCUCUUGUCUAUGUUCCUUGGAACAGGACGUCAUAGAGGGUGAGAAUCCCGUCUGAUGAGAUGCCCAUUCCUAUGUAAGGUGCUAUCGAAGAGUCGAGUUGUUUGGGAAAUGCAGCUCUAAGUGGGUGGUAAAUUCCAUCUAAAGCUAAAUAUUGGCGAGAGACCGAUAGCGAACAAGUACAGUGAUGGAAAGAUGAAAAGAACUUUGAAAAGAGAGUGAAAAAGUACGUGAAAUUGUUGAAAGGGAAGGGCAUUAGAUCAGACUUGGUGUUUUACGAUUAUCUUCUCUUCUUGAGUUGUGCACUCGUAUUUCACUGGGCCAGCAUCGAUUCGGAUGGCAAGAUAAUGGCAGUUGAAUGUGGCUUCACUUCGGUGGAGUGUUAUAGCUUCUGCUGAUAUUGCCUGUCUGGAUCGAGGGCUGCGUCUUUUGACUAGGAUGCUGGCGUAAUGAUCUAAUGCCGCCCGUCUUGA